GUUGUAGCUCAGUGGUAGAGGCUUGCCUUUCACGUGUGAGGCCCUGGGUUCGAUCCUCAGUACAACA
rnacentral:tRNA from 1 species